GGGUAGCCUCUACUCUGUUUUUAGAGCUUGUCUUGUGUCUGCCUAUUCAAGGAGGCACAUCUUGAAGUGGCGUCCUUUACCCCCUUCUGUGCUCUUUCCCCUCCUGCAGCUUGAUCUGAUGCAUCCUGUUGUGAGUCCACACAGUGCUUGCCGACCUGCGUCAGGAUCUUGGCUCUGUAGCUACCUGGCUACGGAGGUGAUGGCGAGCAGUCCUCCUGUUCAGGACGGUGGGUUAUGUCACCUCCCGGGAUUAUCACAGAGUAAACAGGCUAAUAACUACAGCUCUGAAAAACAGUGCCCGCCACACGAGUCCAAUAACCGUUGGUGGUGGUUUCACUUGUUUUUCUUCUGAUAGUAAAUGUGAAGUGGCUGGCGCCUAAUUGCUUACCAAGAUGACGCAUAGUAUCUGUUUAAUACAAUUCAUAUUGCUAAUAGUAGCUGCCAUGUACUGAAUAUUCACUAUGUGCCAAAGUGGGUAAAGCACUUACGUUACCGCACCUUCGCUGUAGUCCCACGAAUGUAGUCUGCUCUCGACAAUCCCCGUUUCAUCAACAAGAAAAUCCAGCCCAGAGCGGGCUGUCCCACUUGGGCAGGGCCACGAAACAAGUGUAUAGCCUGCUCGUCCGCUGAAUGUCAGAACCUCCCGUUAGCCUUGCUGUUUUCUACCUCUGAUGUUACAGUGAUUACAUAGCGAUAUACAUGUGUGAUUUAUAAUAAGAAAUAAUUUAUUUGGUCUUCAUCCCCAUUUCUGGUACAGAUCUCCUAAAACCUUGGAAUUUCCUUGGAAUUGAGUGAUGAAGGUGCCUUGAACAUGUUCAUGAGGUGACUUUCUGAAAGCACGUAGGGGUGGGACUGGUUGCCAAGAGAACUGACCAAGUCCUGGAGGGUUGGUACUUCCAGCCCCCACCCGCCUGAUCUCUGGGCGGGGAGAGGAGUUGGUGGUUGGAUCAGACACCAAUGGCCAGUGACUUAAUUGAUCGUGCCUAUAUAAUGGAGCCGCCCUAAAACCCCAAAAGCAUGGGUUCUGGAAGCUUUCAGGUUGGUGAACAUGUGGAGAUGUUGGAGAGACCCAGACACCCUUUCUCUGUACCUGGUCCCGAGCAUCCCUUACAUCUGGCUGUUCUCGAGUUCUGUGCUUUUAUCAUAAAUCACUAAUCUAGUGAGUAAAAUGUUUCUCUGGAUUCUGUGAA